rnacentral:rRNA from 1 species
GCGGACGGGUGAGUAACACGUGGGUAACCUGCCUGUAAGACUGGGAUAACUCCGGGAAACCGGGGCUAAUACCGGAUGGUUGUUUGAACCGCAUGGUUCAAACAUAAAAGGUGGCUUCGGCUACCACUUACAGAUGGACCCGCGGCGCAUUAGCUAGUUGGUGAGGUAACGGCUCACCAAGGCGACGAUGCGUAGCCGACCUGAGAGGGUGAUCGGCCACACUGGGACUGAGACACGGCCCAGACUCCUACGGGAGGCAGCAGUAGGGAAUCUUCCGCAAUGGACGAAAGUCUGACGGAGCAACGCCGCGUGAGUGAUGAAGGUUUUCGGAUCGUAAAGCUCUGUUGUUAGGGAAGAACAAGUACCGUUCGAAUAGGGCGGUACCUUGACGGUACCUAACCAGAAAGCCACGGCUAACUACGUGCCAGCAGCCGCGGUAAUACGUAGGUGGCAAGCGUUGUCCGGAAUUAUUGGGCGUAAAGGGCUCGCAGGCGGUUUCUUAAGUCUGAUGUGAAAGCCCCCGGCUCAACCGGGGAGGGUCAUUGGAAACUGGGGAACUUGAGUGCAGAAGAGGAGAGUGGAAUUCCACG